UGGGGAAUUUUGCACAAUGGGGGAAACCCUGAUGCAGCGACGCCGUGUGAUUUAGAAGGCCUUCGGGUUGUAAAAAUCUUUUGUAUAGGAAGAAAAUGACAGUACUAUACGAAUA
rnacentral:rRNA from 1 species